GCGGCGCCGAGGCGGACGCGCUGUCGAUUCCCGCGAAAACUUUGGCCCCGCGGCGCGAGCGCGCUCGAUUUCCCGCGCGGAAGCAGAUGGGGCGGCCCGGCGUGCGCGCAACUGGAUUUGGCGGCGCGAAAUCGAGAAAGGAUAAGGGGGAGAGAAGAACGACGGCCGCGACUUGCCGCCUGGAAGCUCCUCGUCCCCGACGGCGCUAGCUGCUCCUCUCCCUUGCACCGCUGGCUGCUUCCCCCGCUCGUCCUCAACGUGAGUUGCCUUCCCCCUGCCUGCAGCUUCCACUUCCCUGCUCGUCUCCCCUAUCCCGCCGGCUGCUCCCCUACCUGCUCCUCUGCUUUCCCCUCCUGUGCCGGCUCUGCUCCUCCCCGCCUGAAGGUCCACCCGCCGGCGCUGCUCCUCCUCGCCUGGGAAGUUCCACCCGCCGGCGCUGCUCCUCCAAGCCUGGAAGCUCCGCCGGCCGCACUGCUCCUCGAACCUCGUCCCCGCUGCUGCGCUGCACUGCUCCAGCCUCCAAGUCUGCAAGGUCCUCACCGCCGACGGCCUCAUCCUGCUCCAAGUUAGCAGAGUCUGAUAGUUAGCAGUCUGUCUCCAUCCAAUCCAUCCAUGUGAGUACACUACACACUUAUUCAGCAAGCUAAGUCAGGCAUGGAGAACUGCUAAUAUCCAGUACACUUGAAAUUAGACUGCUAAUAUGCUUUUUUAGAGUAGAACUGAAUGAGUAGUGAGCAGGCAUGGACUAAAUGUUCUAGGAGAGAUUGGCUUGUUAGUCUUUAUUUUCUAGUACUAGGAUGAAUAAGCAUAUUAGCAGGCAUGGAUUUAUUUGAGUUAUUUCAAUGCAUGCCCAUUGCCUAAUUGUACGAUGCCGACAUCAGAGAAUGAACAAGUUGAUGGAGCCAGCACUGAGGCAGUGAAUCUGCUGAAAAGGAACUCAGAUGAUGUUGGAUGGGAGUAUGGUGUUCUUGUUGAUGCUAACAACAAGGACAAGGUCAGGUGCAACCUUUGUAAUAAGGAGAUGAGGGGAGGGAUUUAUAGGCUGAAGCAGCAUUUGGCUCGUGAAGGAAAGAAUAUGACUAAAUGUCCAACUAGAACACAGCAGGCUUCGGAGGCUAAAGCAAAGUGCAAGAAAGCACUAGAAGAUGCAAAAAGGAAGAGGGAGGAGAAGACUAUCCGUGAGCUAGAAUUUAGAGCGGAAGUGGAUGUGUCUAGGGUUGGAGAGUUAGAGGAAGUCACUUGUGUUGGUAGUUCACAGCCUCACAAAUUAGGACCUAUUGACAAAUAGACACGUGCUAUUGAUCCUAAAGCUACCAAGACUGAGUCUUUAAAGCAACAGUAGCUGAACAAAGAACUUUGGAAAGAAAGAUCAAAUGAGGUGUACAAGUAUAUUGCAAGAUGGGUCUAUAAUCAUGCAAUACCUUUCAAUGCAUGUGACAAUGAUGACUUCAAGCAAAUGUGUGAAGCAAUUGGACAGUUUGGACCUGGAUUUCAGCCUCCAAGUGAUGAUUUACUGCGAGAGAAAUUGCUGGAACAAGAAUAUGCAAGAACCAAGAGUUUGAUGCAGGAACGUCAAGCUGAGAAGUUGAAAAAUGGGUGCUCUGUUAUGACCGAUGCUUGGUCAGAUAGGAAGAGGAGAAGCAUAAUGAAUCUGUGCACUAAUUGUGCUGAAGGAACUGAAUUCAUCAGCUCAAAAGAGAUGUCAGAUGUGUCACACACAAGUGAAGUCAUCUUUGAACUAGUGGACAAAGCAAUUGAAGACUUGGGUCCAGAAAAUGUAGUGCAAGUAGUGACCGACAAUGCCUCCAACAACAUGGGAGCAAAGAAGCUAUUGCUUCAGAAGAGACCACAGAUAUUUUGGACAUCUUGUGCAGCUCACACAAUCAACUUGAUGCUCCAAGAAAUUGGCAACAUGCCUCGGUUCAAUAAAGUGAUUGACCAAGCAAAGGCAUUUAUCAUAUUUGUCUAUGGCCACACAAGAACAUUGGACUGCUUGAGAUACUUCACGGAGGGGAAAGAGGUAGUGAGGGCAGGAGUGAUUAGGUUUGCUUCAAACUUUCUCACUUUGAACAGCAUGCUAGAGAAGAAGGACCAGCUAAGAAAAUGGUGGUUCAUACUAGGUGGGACUCAUUGAAGGAUGUGAAAUCAAAGAAAGGAAAAGAUGCCACAGCAACUAUAUUGAGUCCAACCUUUUGGAAGGAAGUGAAGCUAAUAUUGGCUGUUUUUGAGCCAUUGUUCAAAGUCCUCCGUUUGGCUGAUGGGGAUGUGAAGGCAUCCAUGGGUUUCAUUUAUGGAGAACUACUAAAGGCAAAGAGAGAGAUCAAAGAGGUCUUUGGCAAUAAUGAGACUCGAUUCAAGGAUGUACUAGCUGUUAUUGAGAAGAAGAUGAAGGGAAGACUUGAUUCUCCAUUGCAUUUGACAGCUUAUUUGCUCAAUCCACACUAUAGCUUUACUAACCCAUCAAUCUUUGAUGAGCCCAAAAUGAAUGAAGCAUUUAUAGCUUGUGUUGAGCAAUUUUAUUAUCAUGACGAGGACAAGCAAGAUCAAGCUGCCAACAUUGAAUUGAAAAAGUUUCAAAAUAGAGAAGGAGCAUUUAGCAAGAAGCUAGCAAGGACUUUUGAAAACUUUGAUUACAAUUCAGGUAGAGGUGUUAAGUAACAAAUACAUGGCUGUUUGCUAUUUUCUAACAUGGAUGUUUGUUGUUUUCUAACUAAUAGGGGUAUUUUUCUUUUAUUUCAGCCUCAUGGUGGAGGUUGUAUGGAAGCCACACACCAGCUUUACAGAAGAUGGCUACAAGGAUCUUAUCUUUGACAUCAAGUGCUUCUGGUUGUGAAAGAAAUUGGAGCGGGUUUGAAGGGAUACACACUAAGAAGAGGAAUAGACUUACUACAGCCCGCUUCGAAAAGUUGGUCUAUAUUCAAUUCAACAACAGGCUGCUUAGUAAGAGAAAAGAUCAAGACAAAGAAGACCACUGAUGUUCUCUUGUCUAGUGAUACAACUGAAGUUCAAGAUUUUCUCCAAGAGGGUGGAGAUGAUUGCGCAUUAGUUGUCUUUAGAGAUGAGGAAGAUGAGGAUGAGAUGGAAGGUACAGGGAUACCUUGGGUUGUUAUUGGAGAGGCAGUGGGAGCAGAAGAGCAGCUUGAGCGGCGUAGAAGUGGUAGAGUGAGGCAGGCAAGGGAGCUCUAUGAAGGAGAAGAGUUUUUGUCUGAAGAAGAAGAGUAUGAGUCUGAUGAGGAUGAGGAUGAGUGAGGGAGGCAAGGGAGCUCUUAUGAACCGCCGUUGUGUGCUAUGUUGUGUGCUAUGUGACUGUGUGAACCCUUGAGGGGUAUGAACUAUUUGCUUGUGCUUGUGUUUGUGUUGUAUGAACUGCUGUUGUAGUGUUGUGACGUCCUUUAUUUAUAAAUUGUGUUGUGCACUUGUACUG